rnacentral:lncRNA from 1 species
CACCUGCCUUCAUCCCUCAGCUGUGGAGAACAGUUCAGUCAGCAGGUGUUGCAGGAUUAAGGCUUGUGACAUUGCUCUGGAAGGCGAGGUUGCAGCAGCAGGCAGCGUGUACAGCAGUGUGGUUCAGUGUGCAGUGCAGGGUGGUGGACUCUCAGGCUGAUGUAAGUUCAGGGGACUGUACUGACCUCAGCCUGACCAACAAAUCCUGCCAACUCACUAUCCCUCCAGAACCAUGCACCUGUACACUCACCAUGUCCAACUCUGCAGGCUCCGCCCCUCCAUCACCAUACCCAGCCAAUGGGAAAGUGAGGGUCUGAAGGAAAAUAUAAGCUAUUCUGUGAGUGUGAGAGCAGUGCAUGCAAUGGUGUCUGGCCCUGGCAUUAGAGUCCUGACCUACACUGGCCAAACAGCACCCUCUGCUGGUCCACAGCUGUAUGUUGCAGAGCACGGCUGCUCAUAUGUGGUUCUGCGCUGGAGUGCAGUUCCCUUGGAGCUUCGCAAUGGUUUCAUUACCAAAUACACUCUGCUCUACCAGACUGAAGAUAACUCCAUACGAGAGCUGCUGGUUUCUGAGGACUCCGAGCAGUACACACUCCGUGAUGUAUCAGGGCUCCUUAGGUUAUAUAUGAAGGCCCAAACUGUUGCAGGACCAGGACCAGCUGGACCCGUGCUCUCUGUGUCCAUAGAGUCAUGCACCUCUGCACUGAAAAUCACACUGAUAAGCUGUGUGCUCCUGCCAGGAUUCUCUGUUCUCUUUUACAUGUGCUGGAAAUUAAUGCAGAGGAUGAAACAGCGUAUCUGGGUUAAAGUUCCGGACCCAACGCAGAGCAGUCUGUAUGACUGGCUUUAUCAAACACAUAUAAAGGAAUCUGCAGGGGCAUAACCAGCCACCAGGGGGCAGGUUCAUCAAGAAAAGAAACCAGACACAGUUUACUGUAUGUAUUUAUCUUAUGAUAAUGAAGAGUCUCUAGGAUGAUUAGAUACAGAAAAUGUCUACUUUCACUUUAUUUUUGUAAUAUAUAAUUCUAUAUAUUUCUAUUUUAUAUUUUC